GCCAUCUAACAAUAGUGCGGCCUUUCCUCCAAGGCUGGCCCCUCCAAGAAGCCCCCCCCCCACGCCACAAAUCCUGUGAAAGAUCCAGACAAAAAUGCAUAAUGGAACGAGAUGGAAUCAUGGGAAAGAAGGCUCUGCUUCACGGCUCCUGGAACAGGUGUGAACAAGAAAGUGCUCCUAAGCUCAUUUGCUGUCACUGCAUAAUUUUCUGAGCACAAGAAGGAGGAACACUUCUGCAGAGAUGGGAACACAACUGGGCAUCAGCGGAUCAGCAGUAUAGGGUUGUUCUGGAAAAUGACCUGUUGUACUGUCAACUGCUUGAAUUCGGACCUACCACCACCUCCAUGUUGAAUUUGGACCUACCACCACCUCCAUGUUGAAUUUGGACCUACCACCAUCUCCAUGUUGAAUUUGGACCUAUCACCAUCUCCAUGUUGAAUUUGGACCUACCACCACCUCCAUGUUGAAUUCGGACCUACCACCACCACCAUGUUCUGGUAAUUCAUCCUGGGAAGAGCAUCCUGGAAAGAAAAGCUUGAUAAACUAUGACAACCUGUCAGUUAAAUGAUUCCUCUGGAUCUUGGGAGUGGUUUGUCAUUACAUAUGAAAAAGAGAGUAAAGGUUCACAAGAAGGUCAUCUUCUACGUUAGCAGAAGUUUGCCCAACACAGAGGCCGUAGA